rnacentral:snRNA from 1 species
UGCCUUCAGUCAGCACUACACUAAAAUUGGAAUGAUACUGAGAUUAGCAUGGUCCCUGCGCAAGGAUGACACACAAAUUCAUAAAGCAUUUCACAUUAAA